rnacentral:rRNA from 1 species
CACGUAGGGUGCGAGCGUUGUCCGGAAUUAUUGGGCGUAAAGAGCUCGUAGGCGGUUUGUCGCGUCUGCUGUGAAAAACUGGAGGCUCAACCUCCAGCCUGCAGUGGGUACGGGCAAACUAGAGUGCGGUAGGGGGAGAUUGGAAUUCCUGGUGUAGCGGUGGAAUGCGCAGAUAUCAGGAGGAACACCGAUGGCGAAGGCAGGUCUCUGGGCCAUAACUGACGCUGAGAAGCGAAAAGCAUGGGGGAGCGAACAGG